rnacentral:tRNA from 1 species
UCCCUGAUGGUCUAGUGGUCAGGAUUCGGCGCUUUCACCGCCAUUGGCCCUGGUUGGAUUCCCGGUCAAGGAA